CUCAAAUUUGAAAUCUGGCUUCGGCCCGAGUUGUAAUUUGCAGAGGAAGCUUUAGGCGCGGCACUUUCUGAGUCCCCUGGAACGGGGCGCCAUAGAGGGUGAGAGCCCCGUAUAGUUAGAUGCCUAGCCUGUGUAAAGCUCCUUCGACGAGUCGAGUAGUUUGGGAAUGCUGCUCAAAAUGGGAGGUAAAUUUCUUCUAAAGCUAAAUACCGGCCAGAGACCGAUAGCGCACAAGUAGAGUGAUCGAAAGAUGAAAAGCACUUUGAAAAGAGGGUUAAAUAGCACGUGAAAUUGUUGAAAGGGAAGCGCUUGUGACCAGACUUGCGCCGGGCAGAUCAUCCGGUGUUCUCACCGGUGCACUCUGCCCGGCUCAGGCCAGCAUCGGUUCUCGCGGGGGGAUAAAGGCCCUGGGAACGUAGCUCCUCCGGGAGUGUUAUAGCCCGGGGCGUAAUGCCCUCGCGGGGACCGAGGUUCGCGCAUCUGCAAGGAUGCUGGCGUAAUGGUCAUCAGCGACCCGUCUUGAAACACGGACC
rnacentral:rRNA from 1 species